CUGGGAGCCUGCCAGCAGCAUCCUGGGAUGAGGAGUCGGCGAAUGCUCAGGCCCUCGAAGCCAAAAGGAGGUUGAUGGGCCACAGGACGCGAAAGAGUCCAGCAUGGCCAAUGCUUGACACACACAUUGGCUUUGAACCAAGGAUGCAACCCCAUACCAGAGCAGUCCCGGGGGGAGAAAAAUCCAGACACAAGAAGAAAAAAGUAAACUAUGCCAGCGAUUGCAAGCUUCUACAUGAUAAGACAGCCCUAUAGAGAGGCCCAGGCGAUGAAGGAACAAGGCCUGCCAACAACAACAUGAGUAAAAUUAGAAGCAGAUACUACCAGCCCCAGG